AACGCACGAGACCUGCGGACCUGCGGAAGGAUCAUUACCGAGUUGUCCAACUCCCAACCCCUGUGAAUUAUACCUUUAAUUGUUGCUUCGGCGGGACUUCGCGCCCGCCGGGGACCCAAACCUUCUGAAUUUUUUAAUAAGUAUCUUCUGAGUGGUUAAAAAAAUGAAUCAAAACUUUUAACAACGGAUCUCU
rnacentral:misc_RNA from 1 species